UACGUAGGGAGCGAGCGUUAUCCGGAAUUAUUGGGCGUAAAGCGUGCGUAGGCGGUUUAUUAAGUCAAAUCUGAAAGUCCACAGCUCAACUGUGGAAGGUGAUUUGAAACUGGUAAACUUGAGUACGGCAGAGGUUAGUGGAAUUCAAUGUGUAGCGGUGGAAUGCGUAGAUAUAUUGAGGAACACCAGUGGCGAAGGCG
rnacentral:rRNA from 1 species